rnacentral:lncRNA from 1 species
GUUGCUGUUGGUAUCAGGGAAACUCCAGAAGAUUGUGGAUCUACUGUUGCAUGAGGCAAUGAAAUAGUUUCUUCAACAGAUUUCAAUGGAACAGUGCUAACUACCUGUGGAACAGUACUAACAGCUUUUGGGAAAAUAACAUCGCUUGCAUAAAUUGGUACCAGUUCUUUCUUUGGGCGACCUCUCCUUCUUGCCAUAACACCCUCUGCCCAGGUUAACCUACCUAAGCAGAAGCAGCAGAGAAGAAGAAGAUGAAUCAGCGAAAGAGAUAAGAUAGAAAAGAAAUUUUUUUUUGUUAUUAAUUCAAAUAGAGUAACCAAUUAAUUCAAAAAAACUAGUUAGAAAAGAAGCACCCUCUGCCCAGGUUAACCUACCUACGCAGAAGCAGCAGAGAAGAAGAAGAU